rnacentral:tRNA from 1 species
GGGCUGGGGCUCAGUGGUAGAACACUUGCCUAGGAUGAAUGAGGCACUGGGUUCAAUUCCCAACAUCACA